rnacentral:rRNA from 1 species
UACGGAGGGUGCAAGCGUUGUUCGGAAUUACUGGGCGUAAAGCGCGUGUAGGCGGUCUAGCAAGUCAGAUGUGAAAUCCCUUGGCUCAACCAAGGAAGGGCAUUUGAAACUGCUAGACUUGAGUACGGGAGGGGGAAGUGGAAUUCCCGGUGUAGAGGUGAAAUUCGUAGAUAUCGGGAGGAACACCGGUGGCGAAGGCGGCUUCCUGGACCGAUACUGACGCUGAGACGCGAAAGCGUGGGGAGCAAACAGG